rnacentral:misc_RNA from 1 species
UUAUUUUUUUUAUACUAAUAAAUCAGACAAUAUAUAUUUCUUCACGAAUUUUUUAUUUGGAUUCUAUCCACUGGCAGCUCCCUAGCUAGUGCCAAAUAAACACAAAACUAGAGGACCAACUUUUUGUAUACACAAUUGCCGGUCUGUCCAAUGGAAGCAACAUGGUAAAUGAUAAACAAAGGGGUUUUUGAUAAUACAAACUAUCAAUAAUGAUCCUUCCGCAGGUUCACCUACGGAAA